CACCGCGGUUAUACGAGAGGCCCAAGUUGACAACCAUCGGCGUAAAGAGUGGUUAAGAUUACCCUUCCAUUAAAGUCGAAUAUCUUCAAGGCUGUUAUACGCACCCGAAGACUAGAAGCCCAACUACGAAAGUGACUUUAUUUUAUCUGACCCCACAAAAGCUAGGGCACAAACUGGGAUUAGAUACCCCACUAUGCCUAGCCAUAAACAUUGACAGUACUUUACACCCACUGUUCGCCUGGGGACUACGAGCGCAAGCUUAAAACCCAAAGGACUUGGCGGUGCUUUAGACCCCCCUAGAGGAGCCUGUUCUAGAACCGAUAAUCCCCGUUCAACCUCACCCUUUCUUGUUCAUCCCGCCUAUAUACCACCGUCGUCAGCUUACCCUCUGAGGGUCCAAUAGUAAGCACAAUUGGCACAGCCCAAAACGUCAGGUCGAGGUGUAGCGUAUGAAAGGGGAAGAAAUGGGCUACAUUCACCCUUUACGGUGUACUACGAAAGAUGCAAUUGAAACAUUCAUCAGAAGGAGGAUUUAGCAGUAAGCAGAAAGUAGAGCGUUCCGCUGAAACUGGCCCUGAAGCGCGCACACACCGCCCGUCACUCUCCCCGAGCUUUCAAAUUUUGCCCUAAAUAAAACGCUAUCCACCGCUA
rnacentral:rRNA from 1 species